rnacentral:rRNA from 1 species
UGGGGAAUAUUGGGCAAUGGGCGCAAGCCUGAUCCAGCCAUGCCGCGUGCAGGAUGACGGUCCUAUGGAUUGUAAACUGCUUUUUGUACAGGAAGAAACAGUUCUACGUGUAGAACCUUGACGGUACUGUAAGAAUAAGGAUCGGCUAACUCCGUGCCAGCAGCCGCGGUAAUACGGAGGAUCCAAGCGUUAUCCGGAAUCAUUGGGUUUAAAGGGUCCGUAGGCGGUUAGAUAAGUCAGUGGUGAAAGCCCAUCGCUCAACGGUGGAACGGCCAUUGAUACUGUCUGACUUGAAUUAUUAGGAAGUAACUAGAAUAUGUAGCGUAGCGGUGAAAUGCUUAGAGAUUACAUGGAAUACCAAUUGCGAAGGCAGGUUACUACUAAUGGAUUGACGCUGAUGGACGAAAGCGUGGGUAGCGAACAGGAUUAGAUACCCCCGUAGUCCCUGAGCGGGCUGGCAAGGCGCAU